GUUUUGUUACAUAAGUUCAUCACCAACUGAAUCCUGGACGAUUCCAAGUCACUAUCUUCCAAAGAAUUGUUUUAUUGGACUUAUUACACACAGUACUGAGCACAACCUGUUUUGUAUAGUUUUGCUUCUCGUCAGUAAGGUGUUGGGAGUAUUCCUUACAUUCAGUGUUUGCAGCUUUUCCCCCGUUUAUAUUAAUUGAUUUCUUAGUGCUUAUCCUAUCUUUCAUAUUUGCAGUAACUAAGGAAGACUCAUUUAUACCCUCUGAAACAGUAAGUCCUGGUUGAACAAUUUCCUGUUCACAGUCAUCCAGGUGUACUAAAAAUGAUAAAAUAUCAAUGGGAAUGUACAUUAAAUAUAUUUUUCUCGUAUGAAUUCAUAGGCGUGCCAUUAAU